UUGGCGGACGGGUGAGUAACGCGUGGGUAACCUGCCCUAUACUGGGGGAUAACAGCUAGAAAUGGCUGCUAAUACCGCAUGAGCGCACAGUCCCGCAUGGGACAGUGCGGAAAACUCCGGUGGUAUAGGAUGGACCCGCGUCCGAUCAGCUGGUUGGUGGGGUAACGGCCCACCAAGGCGACGAUCGGUAGCCGACCUGAGAGGGUGACCGGCCACAUUGGGACUGAGACACGGCCCAAACUCCUACGGAAGGCAGCAG
rnacentral:rRNA from 1 species